AUUCUUCAUCGGCCAGGGUUUCGAGAAAACCCUAGCGCCGCCUCGAGGAAAUUGUGUCUCUCUUGCAUCAUUCUUGCUAUUUUCGGCAAAUUUACAAGUGGAUAACACCUUUUCCAGGUCUGAUAUAGUCGGAUCGAGCAAAGCAAUUAAUGCUUGCCUCUCUCUCUCUCUCUCUCUCCGCCCGCAUCAACUAAACAAGUUUGGGAUUUGAGGAGCAAAAGGAUCUCCAAAUCUGUUUUCGACAAGGGAUGCACUCAGAAAAGGUAAUAUUUUAUCCAUUUAAGUUUCUUUUAGUCUUAAUCUAUUCAGUUGAUAUUAGGCAUUAGCUUAGUUAUGUUUUAAGCCUGUUGUUUAUUCUUGCUAUUAAUGAUUUAUUUUUUAGCAUGUUUGGUCAAUAUUUUGCUCUGUUUUGUUGAUAUUAAACAAUAGUUAGUUAUGGUGUUGUUGUUAGCCUUUUGUUCAUGCUUCCUAUCAAUUGUGAUUUAGUUCAUAAGCAUGCUUUUGAGUUCAAUUCAUAGCUUUUGUUUAUCUAGUUGGGAAUGAUGCUCAAAUGUUUAUAUGUUUAAAUUAAUGAUUAUCAUGUUAUUUGUUUUCAACCUAAGAUGAUUAGUGUUUAAUGUUGGAAUUAGAAUCUGGAUCUCUAUAAUGAUUUGUUAAGCAUAGGAGAUAUGGAACAUCAUGUUUACUUAAUCAAUGUUAGAUGUGUCAUUUUGGGUUAGUCUUUUAUGUUUGAAUGAGAGUAUAACCCCCUGUGUGAACUUAAGUAGUCUCCUUACUGUUAAUAUACAUCUGCAAUUAGCAUUGAUUGUUUUGUUUUAACCUAGUCUUGAACUAUCAGUCUUAGAUUAAGGUCUGAAGGUCAAUGUUGUAUGCUGAAUUGUUUAGCACAGCUAUAUUCAAAUUCAGUUUGGGUUUAGAUGUUGCAUAUAGGUAUUUGACUUCCAAUAAAUGUUUAUUUGAUUUCUGGUGCCACAGUUUAUAAGUGUUCACAUGCCUAAACUUUACACAAUCUCAUUAUCAGCAUGCUUAGAGAACAUUGGGUUCAUUGAUUUGCUUAAGUAUCUAACUGCCUACUCUCUUAAUGACUCGUGAGGGUUUUUGACAAGGGUGUUCAAUAUGUUUCUUUGAAACUAACUAUAAAGAAUCAUACAUGUAAAAUGAACUUGAAAUAGCAUCUUAAGGAAUCUAACAUGCUUGUUUAACAUGUUCACCUCCUUGAGUUGUUUGAUAUUGAGUUAACAUGCCUUGGUCUCCUUUUUUGGACAUCCUUUAUUGGUCUUCUCUUGUCAGUCUGAAGUCUUCCAUGGUCCAUGGCAUAUCAGUGAUGGUCUGGGGUGUCUUAAGUUGCCUAUGUAUGUUUAUUUAAACUAUUGUACAUAUGUUGUGAUUGAGAUUAUUGAAUAAAUUGUAUUGAUAUGAUCUUUGUGAAAAUUUUCCAUAGUUGUAUUCAUCCUAGAACAAUAUAAGUGCUACUGAUUUUGGUUUUAGGCUAUAGAAUAUUUAUCCAUGUUAUUGAAGAUUGACAUGAACAGUUGUAAGCCUAAUUGGAAUCAAAUUCAUCAGAUCCGAUUCAUGUGUAAGUUGAUAUAUGCUCAACAUGCUAUAUUUCUAGUGCACUAUUAUCCUUUGCUAUGUUCUGUGCUAUUUUCAUGUUGAUGUACUUGAAAUGUACAUGGUAUACAUGAUCUGUAUAUACUUCUGUGUAUAACAUGAGAGUAUAUUGUGUAUAUCGAUAAGGUCCGGGAGUAAUCCUCGAUUUAGAUGUGUUAAUGUGAAUAUUGCUUCGGGCCAUGCCUAUUUUCAUUUAUUAUGUCGUCACUUAAAUCGGCCUGUUCCCCCAUCUUUUAGUUGAUUCGUGUUGCUACUGACAUUUAGGCCUUGCCCCUGCGUGUUAUAUCUUUAUAGGCCUAUCUGAACUCUUUAUGUUGAUUAUUUCAUUUAGUGUAAAAAUGCAUUUGAUUUAUACCUGUACUAUUUAUGUGGAUAUCCUCUCUUAAUUUCUAAUUAGUUUAGUCAUUUAAGGCCUAGAUACUUUCUAACUCAUUACUCUUCUUUUCCCCAUCGUGUUGCAUGAGAUUAACUCUUUGGGCUGCUUCCUUCUUGAAACCUGUUGAACCUGAGGCCCAACCUUCCUUCUUUGAUCGAGUCCGAACCUGAGUAAGGGAAGCAAAUAUGUCGAAGGCCCACCUAUGGGUAAAAAUAGGCAACUGGUGGGCUUAGGUAGGCCCACCAGCCUAACUCUUCUUCUAUAUGUGUUUGUGUGUGUGAUUUUAUACAUUAUUUAUUUACUAGUUGUAUAUUGUAAACAAUAUUUGUACAUAUUGAAACCCUUAUGUAUGGAAAAACUUAGGAAA